UGCAAAAGUAGGCUUUUAAGAUGAGUAACCACAAGUGACCGAAGGUAGUAGGGGUGACGGCCUCAUGCAGGUGCAGAGUGGAAAUUUUCAAGAUAAUGGGCUAAUGCAUAGCCAAUUCAAUGGAAAUGAAGGUAUGUGUGUAAGUGCUUUCCUAAAUUUCUUUGCACAUCUGCAAGCAUUUUCCAAGAUACAAUGGUGCUUGAAAACCUGUUCAGGGUUCAGCCUUGAUGAUAAACCUGGAUCUAACUGCCUGGCACACCCAACACAUUCCAGGAAAGCACAUCCUGAGAAAGCAUAUUCAAAUGAAACCUAAAAGGGGUUGGAGUCAAGGCGGAGCAAUGUCAAUUUCUAACCUAAAGGUGCUGCAUCAUAAUUUGCUUAUUGGAUAAACCCAAGCUUGGGUAGUAACCUUUUAUGAUAAUUUUUAACACCUUUCAAUCCCAUAGGGUAACAGCUAUAGGGCAACAUUGUGAGUGGCUCUGAGGCCAACAGAUUAACAUAAGACUAGGUAUAAAAAGCACGUGCAUGAGGUAACCAGCAGGAAGGAGGGAACAGAACGGUCAUUUCUGGUCCACUCCCGGACCCCAGACUCCUGGUGUGAGUGAGGAUCAGAUCCUGAUCAAGGGAUCUUCCCUGGCAACCCUGUGACAGCAUUGAUCGGGGAAGCCUGACUUCGCUGGAAUCACUUGACGUGUACCUGGCAUUGAGGGACUAUCGAUAAGUUGCCAACCCAUGUCUGUCUAUCUGUUGUUUUAAACAGCCCGGUGACUAAUACCCUCGCAGUGCACAGUUGGCCUGCGAUAGAAUUGACCUGUUGUUAUUAUCUGUUGUUAUUAUUUACUAUUAGCUCUUUAAUACUGCAUUAUCUGCUUAUCGCAUAUAACUUUCUGUUAACUGCUGUGUGUGUAAGCUAUAAUAAAUUUGCCUUUAUUUCACUCCCAACUUUGCCUCCUCAAGCUGAAACUGAAUCAAACAGCCCAGUUGGCCUGUGAUAAAAUUGAUACACUCACAGUGCCCAGCUGGCCUGUGACAAAAUUGGCAUUCAUGAACAGGAUCAAGGAUGGAGAGUUCGGAGGGAAAGAAUGGUGCAGAGGGGGCAGAGGGUUGGACCCCACUGAUUGCUUUAAUAGAAGAGGUUAUGAGUAUUAAGAAUCCAGGGUGGGAUAAAGAGAGGUUAAGACCCACCUGGAGCGAUCCCACCACAAUACCCUGUCAGUGGGCUAUGUUCAUUGCUGUGCAGAGGGGGAGACCUAAGAAAGGAUGCCUGUCUUGGCUGCUGGCAACCUGCCUAAGACUGGGAGCAGAGGAAGGCACUCAACUCCAUGAAGAGAACCAAUCCUUAAAAGACCAAGUGACCCAGCUUGAGAGGGACUUAAGGGAAGAAAAGGAUUCUAGCAGUUUCACGUGCGUGGCUGUUAGAGCUGCUCAAGACCAACUAGAGAUACUAGAGCAUCGGGAGGGAAAAAUACUAGUCACACAGGCAAUCACCUCCCUUGAGCAGAAGGUACAAGUGGCAUGAUCAGUCGAAACUUCCCCUGAAAAGGUUUGGCAGUGUCUUCAUGGCAGAAUUCCAAAAACUGAGCUGUGGGAUGACCCAGAGAGCGAGGAUCUGUAUGGUGAAAUUGCAGUAAGCAAGCCAGGAGAUGAUGAGCAUGUGAGGCUUACAGAAGAAGCCUGUGAGAUCCCACUUCCUUAUGCCCCACCAGCCCAAGAGAAUUUAGGAGGAGAGUUAGCCCAAACCUUCCCAGUAGUGGUGACUCAUACAGGGCCACAAGGGGGCAAUCUCCGGACAGAGACACAGUCCUUUACUCGCACAGAAAUCCAAGAAUUACAAAAACAACAUAAGGCCAAACCAGGGGAGCAAAUAAUAGACUGGUUAGUUUGAAUGUAUGGUGAAGGGGCCUCGGCAGUAUAUGUGAGUCGCACCAAGGCAGCACAAUUGGUUCUCCACCCUGAAAUCCAGUUGGGUCAGUGGGUCAGGCAGGAUAACAUUACUCUGUUUUCUGCUGCAGUGAAGGUGGUUGCUGUGGGUUAUAAUAACAUGGAAGAAGAGCUUAACCUUUCCCCCUGGGCAUGGGCUAACUUAGAGGCAUCUAAUAAUGUCUGUAUUAACUAGCAUUAAUUGAAAUCAUUCGAGCAGGGAACUGGAGGAACACUAGAUGAAGAACUGGUGACAGAAGCCAUGUGGAGGAAGUUCUGUCGGCAAGCACCGACGGAAUGUGCUUCAGUUCUGCUGGCUUUACAACAAUAGUUAGUAACUCACCCAUUAAGAAAUGCAAUCCGGCAGUUGAUACAGCUUCUGCCAAUCUUGCAGGAGCUGGGGCUUCCCAAACUAAUAAGAACUGCCAAGGCCAUGGCAGUGGCCGCUGAGAAAGACAAUCCAGCAGGGCCCCACAAGUCCAGAAAAGUGGGGAAUGGAAAAUCUAAACCCCUGCAGACACAGAUGUGGAGGGAGUUACUGGCAGGAGGGUUCAAUAAAGAGCAAAUUGAUGGGCUGCCCACCCCGGUCCUGCAAGUAUUAUGGGCCAAACACUGUGAGGAUGGGAAAGGGAAGAAGACAGAGCCUUCAGAACCCCCUGACCUCCAGCAGUAGGAGUCCCGGCCAACCCAACCCCCAGAGCAAGGGGCCAUCGUGGGGCAGUAGAGUAUCGGGACCGGUAACACAGAAUAAUAUUGGCCCCUUAAUUCAAGUACCUAUAAAGAUUUGUCUCAAUGGAAGGGAAAAGUCAAUUAAUAUGCUACUAGACACUGGUGCCCAGCUAUGUGUUUUGGACUGUGCAGAAUGGAAAGGGGCACAGGGAACUCCCUAACAGGUAGUAGGAGUUGGAGGUGCCAGACGAUCAGGACAUUUGGUCCAGCCCACUUUCACCUUGCCUAAUGGCUCCAUAGUAACAGCAGCUGCUGUCAGGCUCUGGGGAGGGCCGAACCUUAUGGGACUAAACAUGUUGCAGGAGCAGCGGUUUAUCCUUAAACAGGAAACUUGGCAGUUUGGAUGUGCCACGGUUCAGGAAGGCAAGCAGAAGGACAUAUAAUGACGGCAGUAGCCUGAUGUUCCAUGACCCCACUUGCUCUGCCAGCCAUGAAGGGGGUACACUGACCUCAAUACCGCAUACCCCCCAAGGGAACGCAACCCAUCAAGGACAUCAUCAACCGAGAGCUGGAGGAUGGAACUAUCAUUCGAACUCAUUCCCUGUACAACAACCCAGUGUGGCCAGUACGUAAACCAAAUGGGGAUUGGCGAUUGACUAUUGAUUUUAGGGCUUUGAAUGCCAACACUGACCAUCUGAUAGCCUCAGUCCCAUCCAUGUCUGCACUGAUGGAAAGCAUGAGGUGCUAUGGCCCACAGUGGAUGGGAUUCAUAGACAUUAAGGACAUGUUCUUUGUUAUUCCCAUCCAUGAAAAUCACUGGCCUUUGUUUGCCUUCACACGGUUGGGACAGCAGUACACCUAUACAGUCCUACCCCAUGUCUGGGUGCACAGCCCCACCUUGGCUAUCAAAGAGCAAGCUGUGGUGGUCCAUAAAGUCCAGUUGAGUCAUCCAGAGGUACGUGUCUGGCAAUACGUCGAUGAUGUCAAGGCUGGGAAUUAACCAUUUCUGGUUUUGACUCCCUAAAGGAAAAGGUGCAAGCAUUUGGGUUCACGCUGUUCAGCAAAAAGAUCCAAGAAGUCGGGCCCCAGUGUGAAUUCCUGGAAAUCCAAUGGUAGCAAGGUGGACCCAGUGUACCAGCCAAAGAGCUGCAGAGUCUGGUAGAUACCCCUGCCCCCAACACUGUAAAAGAGCUGCAAGCCCAGCUGGGUGCACUUAACUUCUGGCACCUGCAUGUCCCUGAGUUUACUGUGUUGGCCUGGCCUCUGUAUAAUCCAUGCAAGAAAAAAAAAACAGAGUGGGAAUGGGGCCCCGAGCCCCAACAUGUUAUGCGGGCCCUCAAGGAAGCAGUGAUCACCCACUCUCCCUAGCAGCACGGCACCCAGUAGGGGCGCUCUGGCUCCAUGUAAACGUGUCUGAAGGGGGGCCCCAUUGGAGCUUGUAGCAAAGGGACACACCUGAGACAGAGGUAAAACCCCUUGGCUUCUGGAGCUGAGGCUGGAAAGAGGCCGAAGCCCGAUACACCCUUCUGGAACAAAUGCUGUGUGCAGCAGCCACAGCUUUAACAGUCACAGAGGCCCUGAGAGGGGAGCUUCUCACUGUCAUAAUGACUCCGGUGCCCAUCCUAAGAAUGCUAUUGUCCGACAGACACCUCCCUCCAGGGGGUUGAGCCCAAGAAACCACACUGCAAAAAUGGAUCUAUUAUAUCUUAAGUCAAGCUCAGCAGGUGACCCCAAACGGACAUCUAGUAUUAGUAGCAAAGGUCACAGAGAGCACAAUUAACAUAUACCCAGACACGGCCAGCCCAGACAAGCCGUCUCCCAUCAAGGAAGCACCCCCCUUUUCACUCAACAUGGAAACGUCAGAGGACAUAGUGAUCUGGUUUACCGACGGCUCAGCCAAAGGUCAUACCUGGAGGGGGGCUGCCAUACGAAUCCAGGAUAAUAAGCAACUCACCCUGGGGGGGAAAUUGUCAAAGUGCACAAUAUGCUGAGCUAGCUGCUGUAGUCACUGUGGCCAAGUAUGAACUGGUAGAGGUAACAGGCUACCCGACAAGGCCCAUUUAUAUUUACUGCGAUUCAUGGAUGGUAGUGGAGAGUUUCACCAAGUGGCUACUCCUGUGGAAGAAGGAAAUCUUCAAAAGGCAGGGAAGAGACAUCUAAGCCAUGAAUAGUGGGAAGCUUUGUGGGAAAUGGCACAGGGAGGCCUUCCCUUAUACAUACGGCACAUCAGUGCAGCGCAUGGGAGCAGAAAGGCUGAGGGGCCUGAGGCAAAGUGGAACAGGCAAGUGGAUGAGCUAGCCAGAGGCAACACAGAAGCCCUCGUUGCUGAAGCAGAGGCUCAGUCACCCCCAGGAAAACUGCCCAGCCCCUCCCACCAGACCCCUGGAGUGCUAGCCACAGAGUGGCUGCAUCGGCAGCAUGGGCACCCUGGCUGCAAUGGCACUGCUCGCCUAGCAGCCACCUGGGGCAUUCACUUAACUAAAAGGGAAGAACAGGAAUUAGUCAACUCUUGCAUCACCUGCCAGGAGGUCAAAGGUCGACUAACCCCUGCCUCGACUACCCCUUUGUCGCUGCACGAUGGAAAGGUGCGCUGCCCACCCUGGGUCCCAACAUGACCACUGCUGCAACCCCACCUGCAGAUCGAAAUUCUACAACUACCUGGAGCCCAAGGAGGUGACCAAAACCUCCAACCCCACCUCCAUGGGAGACUAUAGCUCCAGCAGUUCCCCUGCCCGUUGACACUUUGGAAUAAUGGUGUUCAGCUCACCAAAUACACCAGUCCUCCAGAUACAGCAAGGUACUGUGGUAGUUUAAAAAAUGGCUCUUAUGCUGUCAAGUGGUGGUCCACGGAAUGGGAGGCCAACAUGUCCCACAUUCCAGCUAUUUUGUGGUUCCACCAUAUGAAUGAAGGGGGGCUCGCUCACAGAAUUGAAUAAACAAUAGCUGCAUAUUGCCAAUCAGUCUGGGAAAAUCUUCAGGACACAGCCCUGGUCAGCCCAGAAGAACUGGCUGAGCCCAUGUGGGGCACCGUGCCAGAAUAAUUUCUGCAAGAUACCAAAGCCAUAGUCGCACCUGGGAAGUGUGCAUUUAAGAGUACAAAUGGGGACACACCCGAGUGAAUGAGCUCCUUUGACCAACCCGAUUGGGAAAUUUACCAAUCCCAAAAGGAAGAUGGAAGAUGGAUAAACACCCGAACAGGAGAACCCCGAGCCGUUUUUUGCAUUAAGCAAGGAUGUACCUUGUUAAUCCUAAAGGAGUCACCACAGCUGUAUCCGCUACUUUGCUUAUCUAACGUCACUCCCUGGUGGAGGUUCCAAACCAGGACUUCGGUCCUCCUUAAUGCCUCCUUGUUCAAUGCCGUAUCACAUUUAACCCCAAGCAAUAGUUUGUAGAACAGCAUUUCCUAACUGCUCUUCCGGUGCUUGGUUGGCAGAAAAUAUGCUGUGCUGGGCCUAGCCAACUGUUUUCCAACCCACCGCCCAGCCUUCAAUCUCCCGGAAAAAGAGGGAUACCCUAGACCGUGUGUGAAAUGGGCUCAACUCAGCCAUGGGAGUUUGGAACAUAGAUAAAUCCCAGAAAAAACACCCAAGGAAUCAUGGAUAUAUGGCGAGCCAUAGGUUUUCUCAUUCAGGGAGGUAUAAUUGAUAACUUGGCUUUAGAAUAUGCUGAUGAGUUAGUGGCAACCAUUGGCCAAAAAGCAGCAGAAAGAAGUCACCUUUUGAUGCAUGCAGCCUUCCAAGCCGCUGCUAAUCAAACCUGGAGCACUGCUUGUGCCCAAGUACAGCUUUUACUUUACUCAAUACCUGGGGAAAAUGAAGGUUAUCUCAGGCACAAAGAAUGGCUGCUGGCUUAGAGCACCAUGGACUACCCCCAGCUUUAGCUCAACGGUUAGUUUACUGAGACACAUGGAGCACAGGCUGGGAGGGGUGUAGCAAGACAAAAUGCUUUUUUGUAGUACAUGGGGUAGCAAAUGGCACAUGGUCCACUGCCCAUCUCUUGACUACAGGACUUAGAGGGGGGUGCAUGUGGGACUGGGACUUGCAUUGUUCCAUUUUGGAAAUUGUAAACCCUGAAGAUCCCAAGUAUUUGGCCCAAUCCCUGGUGUACCCUGUAAAUGGCAUUGUAAUAAACUUGGGAACUUCAUGAAGAGGGUGGCCUGAUAGUCCCUCCAACAUGGAUUGUGUAACACCCCUACCAGCAACUCCCUAUAUUACCUUAGCCCAACGAGUUUGCUGGGAAAGUCCUGGCCACUUAUAUCAUCCUAACAGUACAGAGGCUCAAGAUUUCCAAGGGGCAUCAGCUACCCUAUAUGUCCAAGACCAGAAAACCACCUUAAUGUGGCCAAAAACCCAAUUAGAAAUUGUUACCCUCAACCUAAGUCUUCCAAAAUCCUGGAUUAAAGAUGUAAACAUGUUCCAGCUAAAGAGAUGGGGUGAAGUAGCAACCUACAUUAAAGGUCUGUUUGAAAAUGCCCAAAAAGGAAAACAACUUGCUCUCGUAACUCAAGAGGGAGGUAAAAUUAUUAAACGCACUAUUAAUAUUCCUCCACUGUGUAAGUAGUAUAAAGUGGUCUGUAUUGUACAAAUAUAUACCUUUACUACAGGUGCUCCUUUUCCUUGGUUUGUGGUAGUAAUACGUUUAAUCAUAAAAAUAAUAUUAUUCAAUAUAAUCUUUAAAUGUUAUUAUUAUAAAAUUCAGUCUAAUACUUAUGCCAAAGUAAAUGUUGUUGCUUCUGCCAACCAUGUAUAUACCACCUGGCAGAAAUCAUAUUUGUAGGCCUUACCAAAUGCUCCAAAGCAGCAAGGGGUGGAUUGUGACAGCCAGAACCAGAGGGAUUAAUAAGCAAUAAAUAUGUGCUUCUUGGAGGCAUUUGGUAUUUUGCCUAAACAGGUAAUAUUAGUUAAUAUAAGGUUGUAAGUUUGUAAACUGCAAAUGUGACUUGUCUGUCAUAAGUUUAACCAAAAUGAAAAAUUAACUGUUCGUGGAACUGACUGCGCCCCAUAGGCAAAGCUGUACCUGUGAGAUUAGCUGACCUAACGGUUUCUGCUCAGGUUCAGCUUUAGUGAUAAAAACUGUAUCCAAUUGCCUGGCACACACAACACAUUCCAGGAAAAAAUGUCCCAAGAAAGCAUAUUCAAAUGAAACCUAAAAGGGGUUGAGGCUUAGGCAGAGCAAUGUCAAUUUCAAACCUAAAGGUGCUGCAUCAUAAUUUGCUUAUGGGAAAAACCCGAGUUUGGAUAGUAACCUUUUAUAAUAAUUUUUAACACCUUUCAAUCCCAUAGGGUACCAGCUACAGGGCAACAUUGUGAGUGGCUCUGAGGCCAACAGAUUAACAUAAGACUAGGUAUAAAAGCCAUGUGCAUCAGGUAACGAGCAGGAAGGAUGGAACAGAAUGGUCAUUUCUGUUCCACACCUGGACCCCAGACUCCUGGUGUGAGUGAGGAUUAGAUCCUGAUCAAGGGAACUUCCCUGGCAACCCUGUGACAGCGUUGAUUGGGGAUGCCUGACUUCACUGGAAUCACUUGACGCAUACCUGGCAUUGAGGGAUUAUCAAUAAAUUGCAAACCCAUGUCUGCCUCUGUGUUGUUUUGAACAGAGUAGUGGCUAAUUAGCUUACAGUGCCCAGUUAGCCUGUGAAAGAAUUGAUCUAUCUGUUGUUAUGAUCUGUUGUUAUUAUUUACUAUUAGCUCUUUAAUACAGCAUUAUCUGCUUAUUGCAUUUAUCUUUCUGUUAACUGUUGUGUGUGUGUAAGCUGUAAUAAAUUUGCCUUUGCCUCA